rfam:Picea glauca, whole genome shotgun sequence.
AUGUACAUUUCUAUAGCAUAGAGUUAAUGCAUUAGAUCCCAUCAGAACUCCAUGGUUAAGCAUGCUCAGGCUAGAUUAGUAUUGGGAUGGGUUACCACCGAGGAAGUCCUAGUGUUUUACAUU